ACAUGCAAGUCGAGCGGAUGAAGAGAGCUUGCUCUCUGAUUCAGCGGCGGACGGGUGAGUAAUGCCUAGGAAUCUGCCUGAUAGUGGGGGACAACGUUUCGAAAGGAACGCUAAUACCGCAUACGUCCUACGGGAGAAAGCAGGGGACCUUCGGGCCUUGCGCUAUCAGAUGAGCCUAGGUCGGAUUAGCUAGUUGGUGAGGUAACGGCUCACCAAGGCGACGAUCCGUAACUGGUCUGAGAGGAUGAUCAGUCACACUGGAACUGAGACACGGUCCAGACUCCUACGGGAGGCAGCAGUGGGGAAUAUUGGACAAUGGGCGAAAGCCUGAUCCAGCCAUGCCGCGUGUGUGAAGAAGGUCUUCGGAUUGUAAAGCACUUUAAGUUGGGAGGAAGGGCAUUAACCUAAUACGUUAGUGUUUUGACGUUACCGACAGAAUAAGCACCGGCUAACUUCGUGCCAGCAGCCGCGGUAAUACGAAGGGUGCAAGCGUUAAUCGGAAUUACUGGGCGUAAAGCGCGCGUAGGUGGUUUGUUAAGUUGAAUGUGAAAGCCCCGGGCUCAACCUGGGAACUGCAUCCAAAACUGGCAAGCUAGAGUAUGGCAGAGGGUGGUGGAAUUUCCUGUGUAGCGGUGAAAUGCGUAGAUAUAGGAAGGAACACCAGUGGCGAAGGCGACCACCUGGGCUAAUACUGACACUGAGGUGCGAAAGCGUGGGGAGCACACAGGAUUAGAUACCCUGGUAGUCCACGCCGUACACGAUGUCGACUAGCCGUUGGGAUCCUUGAGAUCUUAGUGGCGCAGCUAACGCAUUAAGUCGACCGCCUGGGGAGUACGGCCGCAAGGUUAAAACUCAAAUGAAUUGACGGGGGCCCGCACAAGCGGUGGAGCAUGUGGUUUAAUUCGAAGCAACGCGAAGAACCUUACCAGGCCUUGAC
rnacentral:rRNA from 1 species